rnacentral:rRNA from 1 species
GACGAACGCUGGCGGCGUGCUUAACACAUGCAAGUCGAACGGAAAGGCCCUGCUUUUGUGGGGUGCUCGAGUGGCGAACGGGUGAGUAACACGUGAGUAACCUGCCCUUGACUUUGGGAUAACUUCAGGAAACUGGUGCUAAUACCGGAUAGGAGCUCCUGCUGCAUGGUGGGGGUUGGAAAGUUUCGGCGGUUGGGGAUGGACUCGCGGCUUAUCAGCUUGUUGGUGGGGUAGUGGCUUACCAAGGCUUUGACGGGUAGCCGGCCUGAGAGGGUGACCGGCAACAUUGGGACUGAGAUACGGCACAGACUCCUACGGGAGGCAGCAGUGGGGAAUAUUGCACAAUGGGAGGAAGCCUGAUGCAGCAACGCCGCGUGCGGGAUGACGGCCUUCGGGUUGUAAACCGCUUUCGCCUGUGACGAAGCGUGAGUGACGGUAAUGGGUAAAGAAGCACCGGCUAACUACGUG